rnacentral:snoRNA from 1 species
GCAGGGCUGAAGACUGCGGUUUUUUUAAAUCAGUGGUUUACAUAGCCAGACACCAGGCAGAAAAGAAAAGAGUGGUCUUCCCUUUAAAGUGGUUAUAAUCAUGUGCUAAGUUUUUUUUUUUUCCCCCCCCAUAACAUAUCAUUAUUCAAGGGAAAUACAAAG